GCUGGCGGCAUGCCUAAUACAUGCAAGUCGAAGCGGACAGAUGGGAGCUUGCUCCCUGAUGUUAGCGGCGGACGGGUGAGUAACACGUGGGUAACCUGCCUGUAAGACUGGGAUAACUCCGGGAAACCGGGGCUAAUACCGGAUGGUUGUUUGAACCGCAGGGUUCAAACAUAAAAGGUGGCUUCGGCUACCACUUACAGAUGGACCCGCGGCGCAUUAGCUAGUUGGUGAGGUAACGGCUCACCAAGGCAACGAUGCGUAGCCAACCUGAGAGGGUGAUCGGCCACACUGGGACUGAGACACGGCCCAAACUCCUACGGGAGGCAGCAGUAGGGAAUCUUCCGCAAUGGACGAAAGUCUGACGGAGCAACGCCGCGUGAGUGAUGAAGGUUUUCGGAUCGUAAAGCUCUGUUGUUAGGGAAGAACAAGUACCGUUCGAAUAGGGCGGUACCUUGACGGUACCUAACCAGAAAGCCACGGCUAACUACGUGCCAGCAGCCGCGGUAACGUAGGUGGCAAGCGUUGUCCGGAAUUAUUGGGCGUAAAGGGCUCGCAGGCGGUUUCUUAAGUCUGAUGUGAAAAGCCCCGGCUCAACCGGGGAGGGUCAUUGGAAACUGGGGAACUUGAGUGCAGAAGAGGAGAGUGGAAUUCCACGUGUAGCGGUGAAAUGCGUAGAGAUGUGGAGGAACACCAGUGGCGAAGGCGACUCUCUGGUCUGUAACUGACGCUGAGGAGCGAAAGCGUGGGGAGCGAACAGGAUUAGAUACCCUGGUAGUCCACGCCGUAAACGAUGAGUGCUAAGUGUUAGGGGGUUUCCGCCCCUUAGUGCUGCAGCUAACGCAUUAAGCACUCCGCCUGGGGAGUACGGUCGCAAGACUGAAACUCAAAGGAAUUGACGGGGGCCCGCACAAGCGG
rnacentral:rRNA from 1 species